rnacentral:tRNA from 1 species
UCGGGAAGUAGCUCAGCUUGGUAGAGCACUUGGUUUGGGACCAAGGGGUCGCAGGUUCGAAUCCUGUCUUCCCGACCAU